rnacentral:rRNA from 1 species
GACGAACGCUGGCGGCGUGCCUAAUACAUGCAAGUCGAACGCAGUGGGGACGGGUGAGUAACACGUGGGUAACCUCCCAUCAGAGGGGAUAACACUUGGAAACAGGUGCUAAACCGAUACUGAUGGAUGGACCCGCGGUGCAUUAGCGAGUUGGUGAGGUAACGGCUCACCAAGGCCACGAUGCAUAGCCGGCCUGAGAGGGUGUUCGGCCACACGGGGACGGAGACACGGCCCAGCCUCCUACGGGAGGCAGCAGGAGGGAAUAUUGCGCAAGGGACGAAAGUCUGACCGAGCAAGGCCGCGUGAGUGAAGAAGGCUUUCGGAUCGUAAAGCUCUGUUGUUAGAGAAGCGGUAUCUAACGAAGAAGCCACGGCUAACUCCGUGCCAGCAGCCGCGGUAAUUC